rnacentral:rRNA from 1 species
UACGUAGUGGGCGAGCGUUGUCCGGAUUUAUUGGGCGUAAAGAGCUCGUAGGCGGCUUGGCAAGUCGGGUGUGAAACCUCCAGCUCAACCUGGAGACGCCACUCGAUACUGCCAUGGCUAGAGUCCGGUAGGGGACCACGGAAUUCCUGGUGUAGCGGUGAAAUGCGCAGAUAUCAGGAGGAACACCGGUGGCGAAGGCG